UGUGUGUGUGUGUGUGUGUGUGUGCGUGUACAGCUGAAAGAGCUAAGACUCUACUCGCUGGAGCGAAGGCGGUCGAGUUAUGCAGUAAUAUAUAUCUGGAAGAUCCUGGAAGGAAUGGUGCCAAAUUUUGGCAUUGAAAGGUACACCAAUG